UACAUCCUUCAUUUGUUCAUCCAUUACUUCAUCAAAAGGGUUUCUUAUCGAGAGUUAGAUCAAGAGAUGGGGCGCCGGCUAAUGGUUCUGCGGUGUUUCUCUUACAAGAUUGUUUCAUCUUCAGAUGAUAAUGAUGAUGAUUGUUCUACGGUUGUUUCCAGUAU